rnacentral:rRNA from 1 species
AGUGAACGCUGGCGGUAGGCCUAACACAUGCAAGUCGAACGGCAGCACAGUAAGAGGUUGCUCUUACGUGUGGCGAGUGGCGGACGGGUGAGGUAUACAUCGGAUACUACUUUUUCGGGGGGGAUAACGUAGGGAAACUUAUGCUAAUACCGCAUACGUCCUCCGGGUGAAAGCAGGGGAUCUUCGGACUUUGUGCGAGUGAAUGAGCCGAUGUCGGAUUAGCUAGUUGGCGGGGUAGAGGCGCACCAAGGCGACGAUCGGUAUCUGGUCUGAGCGCGAGGUCAGACACACUGGAACAGAGACACGGUCGCGACUCCGACGGGAAGCAGCGGUGGGGAAUCUUGCACGAUGGGCGAAAGGCGGAUACAGCCAUACCGCGUAGAUGAAGAAGGCCUUCGGGUUGUAAAGCCAUUUAGUUGUGAAAGAAAUACAGCAGGUUAAUCCCCCACUGUACUGACGGUACCCAAAGAAUAAGCACCGGCUAACUUCGUG